rnacentral:rRNA from 1 species
AACGAACGCUGGCGGCAUGCCUAACACAUGCAAGUCGAACGAGACCUUCGGGUCUAGUGGCGCACGGGUGCGUAACGCGUGGGAACCUGCCCUUAGGUUCGGAAUAACUCCCCGAAAGGGGUGCUAAUACCGGAUAAUGUCUUCGGACCAAAGAUUUAUCGCCUUUGGAUGGGCCCGCGUUAGAUUAGCUAGUUGGUAGGGUAAAAGCCUACCAAGGCGACGAUCCAAAGCUGGUCUGAGAGGAUGAUCAGCCACACUGGGACUGAGACACGGCCCAGACUCCUACGGGAGGCAGCAGUGGGGAAUAUUGGACAAUGGGCGAAAGCCUGAUCCAGCAAUGCCGCGUGAGUGAUGAAGGCCUUAGGGUUGUAAAGCUCUUUUACCCGGGAUGAUAAUGACAGUACCGGGAGAAUAAGCUCCGGCUAACUCCGUG